AGUUAACACCUGCAUUAUUUGACGUUACCUACAGAAGAAGCACCGGCUAACUCCGUGCCAGCAGCCGCGGUAAUACGGAGGGUGCGAGCGUUAAUCGGAAUUACUGGGCGUAAAGCGCAUGCAGGCGGCCUCGUUAAGUCAGAUGUGAAAGCCCGGGGCGUUAACCUCGGAAAUUGCAUUUGUAAACUGGCAGGCUAGAGUCUUGUAGAGGGGGGUAGGAAGUUUCAGGUGUAGCGGUGAAAUAGCGUAGAGAUCUGAAGGAAUACCAGUGGCGAAGGCGGCCCCCUCGGACAAAGACUGACGCUCAGAUGCGAAAGCGUGGGAGCAAACAGGAUUAGAUACCCUGGUAG
rnacentral:rRNA from 1 species